UGGGGAAUAUUGCGCAAUGGGGGGAACCCUGACGCAGCCAUGCCGCGUGAAUGAAGAAGGCUUUAGGGUUGUAAAGUUCUUUCGGUAUUGAGGAAGGUUGAUGUGUUAAUAGCACAUCAAAUUGACGUUAAAUACAGAAGAAGCACCGGCUAACUCCGUGCCAGCAGCCGCGGUAAUACGGAGGGUGCGAGCGUUAAUCGGAAUAACUGGGCGUAAAGGGCACGCAGGCGGUUAUUUAAGUGAGGUGUGAAAGCCCCGGGCUUAACCUGGGAAUUGCAUUUCAGACUGGGUAACUAGAGUACUUUAGGGAGGGGUAGAAUUCCACGUGUAGCGGUGAAAUGCGUAGAGAUGUGGAGGAAUACCGAAGGCGAAGGCAGCCCCUUGGGAAUGUACUGACGCUCAUGUGCGAAAGCGUGGGGAGCAAACAGGAUUAGAUACCCUGGUAGUCCACGCUGUAAACGCUGUCGAUUUGGGGGUUGGGGUUUAACUCUGGCGCCCGUAGCUAACGUGAUAAAUCGACCGCCUGGGGAGUACGGCCGCAAGGUUA
rnacentral:rRNA from 1 species